UUUUGCCUACGGGGGGCAGCAGUGGGGAAUAUUGCACAAUGGGCGAAAGCCUGAUGCAGCGACGCCGCGUGAGUGAAGAAGUAUUUCGGUACGUAAAGCUCUAUCAGCAGGGAAGAAAAAAGGACGGUACCUGAGUAAGAAGCCCCGGCUAACUACGUGCCAGCAGCCGCGGUAAUACGUAGGGGGCAAGCGUUAUCCGGAAUUACUGGGUGUAAAGGGAGCGUAGACGGCAAUGAAAGUCCGGAGUGGAAUGCGGCAGCUCAACUGCCGAACUGCUCUGGAAACUGUAUGGCUUGAGUGCAGGG
rnacentral:rRNA from 1 species